rnacentral:rRNA from 1 species
UACGUAGGUGGCAAGCGUUGUCCGGAAUUAUUGGGCGUAAAGGGCUCGCAGGCGGUCUUCUAAGUCUGAUGUGAAAUCUUGCGGCUUAACCGUAAGCGGUCAUUGGAAACUGGAGGACUUGAGUACAGAAGAGGAGAGUGGAAUUCCACGUGUAGCGGUGAAAUGCGUAGAGAUGUGGAGGAACACCAGUGGCGAAGGCGACUCUCUGGUCUGUAACUGACGCUGAGGAAGCGAAAGCGUGGGGAGCAAACAGG